rnacentral:rRNA from 1 species
GGCUGCGGCAGCUACACAUGCAGUCGAACGGUAGCACAGAGAAGCUUGCUCCUCGGGUGACGAGUGGCGGACGGGUGAGUAAUGUCUGGGAAACUGCCUGAUGGAGGGGGAUAACUACUGGAAACGGUAGCUAAUACCGCAUAACGUCGCAAGACCAAAGAGGGGGACCUUCGGGCCUCUUGCCAUCAGAUGUGCCCAGAUGGGAUUAGCUAGUAGGUGGGGUAACGGCUCACCUAGGCGACGAUCCCUAGCUGGUCUGAGAGGAUGACCAGCCACACUGGAACUGAGACACGGUCCAGACUCCUACGGGAGGCAGCAGUGGGGAAUAUUGCACAAUGGGCGCAAGCCUGAUGCAGCCAUGCCGCGUGUAUGAAGAAGGCCUUCGGGUUGUAAAGUACUUUCAGCGGGGAGGAAGGUGUUGUGGUUAAUAACCGCAGCAAUUGACGUUACCCGCAGAAGAAGCACCGGCUAACUCCGUGCCAGCAGCCGCGGUAAUACGGAGGGUGCAAGCGUUAAUCGGAAUUACUGGGCGUAAAGCGCACGCAGGCGGUCUGUCAAGUCGGAUGUGAAAUCCCCGGGCUCAACCUGGGAACUGCAUUCGAAACUGGCAGGCUGGAGUCUUGUAGAGGGGGGUAGAAUUCCAGGUGUAGCGGUGAAAUGCGUAGAGAUCUGGAGGAAUACCGGUGGCGAAGGCGGCCCC